AUCACUCCAUUGAUGUGUAUUUCUAUCGAAUGGACUCAGAAAUACAAGAUUUGCUUGUUCUUUGCACUGCAGAUGUGCUGACUCCUGGGAUUUCCCCAAAUGUGGGAAACUUGACUGCAUAAUUUGUGUUAGUGGGGGACUGCAUUCACACUCUCCCCUG
ensembl:snRNA U1 U1 spliceosomal RNA